AAGCUUGAAGAACAUUAAGAUUUAAGCCAUAGGUAGCUGCUAGUCCUGCUAAACCUGCAAACAGAUGAGACAUGUGACAUCACACACUGAAACCAUUUAUCACAAUGGAAGUAAGAAAAAAACAUUAUCAGAGACUUUCAGCUGCCUGGGAUUUAGUUGACUAACUGCUCCUUGGCCAAGUGGAAGCAGAAUGUGUUAAACUGGAGUCAUGAAAUGGAAAUGGAGAAGAAAUAAAAGCUUACUGGGGUCGAUAGCCUCCCGUGGAAGGUGUGCCAGGAUGACGAGAAGAAAGAAGAAUAUGAGAUUGAAGAGAAAGUUAAUUCGAACGCAGAGCCAUUCCAUUGUAGCAGAGUUGUGAAAGGCAACACGAGAAUAGUUAUCGAUGAGAUUUAAAUUCUUAUUCAAGAAUCGGUCUUCCUGAUUAAAACAACGAAUUGUUGCUACACCGGUGAGAGAUUCAGAGAAAUGAUGCAGGAUUGGAGCUUUCUGAAUGCCGAUCAUCCUUGCCAGUUCUCUAGCAGUGGUAAUGUAAUAUGCCUGUAGUAAGAAUUGUAUUAUUAGCACUAAGACCAUACUUAUGAGAAGUAAAUAUCCAUUGUCUGCAUUCUAAUUUAGCAGUGAUACAAAAGAAAUAUUUAAAAGAAA